rnacentral:snoRNA from 1 species
GGCUCACAGUAUUCUACCAUGGUAUGAAAAGUUGAUUUUAACUGGCUGGCUGAUGAACUCUCAAAGUGUAGGUAGUGUGCUACAUGAUGGGCAAGCUUUUCAGUAACACCGCAAGGGUCUCUGACACAAUGAGUAGAGUUUGAUAGUAAUCCUUGCCACGAGU